rnacentral:rRNA from 1 species
AUGGUGGCACCAGAGCUCAAGACCAUCAAGAUCAGGGGAUGCUGGGGCCUACGCCAACUGCCGGUGGUGGGUGCCCACAGCGGAGACAUGAAGAAGCCGAUCGUCGAGAUCGAGAAAGACAUCUGGGACGCUCUGGAGUGGGACGAGCAGGUGGCUCCUGGCCACUUCGAGGCGCCGCUGCACUCACGCUACUACAAGAAGAAACUGCCUAGGGUCUCUGUCCUCAGGUGA